GACGAACGCUGGCGGCGUGCCUAAUACAUGCAAGUCGAGCGGAUAGAUGGGAGCUUGCUCCCUGAAGUCAGCGGCGGACGGGUGAGUAACACGUGGGCAACCUGCCUGUAAGACUGGGAUAACUUCGGGAAACCGGAGCUAAUACCGGAUACGUUCUUUUCUCGCAUGAGAGAAGAUGGAAAGAUGGUUUCGGCUAUCACUUACAGAUGGGCCCGCGGCGCAUUAGCUAGUUGGUGAGGUAAUGGCUCACCAAGGCAACGAUGCGUAGCCGACCUGAGAGGGCGAUCGGCCACACUGGGACUGAGACACGGCCCAGACUCCUACGGGAGGCAGCAGUAGGGAAUCUUCCGCAAUGGACGAAAGUCUGACGGAGCAACGCCGCGUGAACGAUGAAGGCCUUCGGGUCGUAAAGUUCUGUUGUUAGGGAAGAACAAGUACCAGAGUAACUGCUGGUACCUUGACGGUACCUAACCAGAAAGCCACGGCUAACUACGUGCCAGCCGCCGCCGUAAUAC
rnacentral:rRNA from 1 species